rnacentral:lncRNA from 1 species
UUCACUUGUGCCUCCAAAUUUUAUUUUAUCCACGAGCAUACUAGUUUCACAAUAUAAUACAAUUAACGUACAACAUCCGGCUUUCACAAUUAAUUUCCGUAAUAUUCGAACUUAUUUAAUUUAUCAGUCUCUUCAUUCCGAUAAUUAAUUUAUCAAUAUUCAAAUAAUUUUCCACCACACGAUAUCAAUACAAUAAUUUAUUCUGAGCUUUUAAUAAUUUAACGGUUAUAAUCAUUCAACAACUCCCAAUUUAACGAUAAUUCAACCGGAUUAAAUAUUCUAAUUUUAAUAUCAUAAUAACUAAUUAUCUGAAAAGAAUUUUAACGAACCUAUGCCACCAAAAUUCUCUAAAUAAUGGGACAAACGUUAUGCCCCUCGGCACACAAAUCGAGGCGUUGCCACCCGCGGUGGCUGAAAAAUUCGACGUCGACAAAAACACAAUCUGAGACCACCCGCUCAAAGAUCUCGAUGCGAGGAGUCUGAAUAUGCAAUUGUUUUCACCUAACUCUUCACUGAUUUUUCAAAAAAAAAAGACUAAGAAAGUUGUUGCUCCGGUGAAGCUCCUCCUCCCUUUUCCGGCGAUGGAAACUGCAAAGGAGGUCCAAAAUGGGUUGCUUGGAGCUUGAGAAAGCUAAUGGUAGCAGCCCUAUACAACCCCAACACCUGCGACAGCCCCAAGAAGCAAUGGCAGCCUAUAUCUCCUUUUUCUUUAAUUUUUCCGGCAAGAAAUGGAAGGAAAAGGAGCUGCCGUCAGCCAAGGGCGGUGGAGGACGACUGGACUAAUGCUCAGGCGGCUGGAAAAUUAUGAGGAAGGGGAGGGACAACUUGAACAGAGACGGAGACGUGAGGUGAGGUGGGUGCAAGCGGGAAGAAAAGAAAAUAAACGGGAGAGGAGGAGGGAAAUAGGUGUUUUUUAUACAAAAUAUGUAUUUAUUAUUAUUAUUAUUAUUAUUAUUAUUGUUAUUAUUUGCUUUAUUAUGUACUAUAAACACAUAUAUACACUAACACACACACAGAC